ensembl:lncRNA novel transcript
UGAAGAGCUCUCUACUCGGGCCAUCCCGCCUGCUCUCUGGAUGGAGAACAUACGGACAACUGUGUGUUAAGCAGUCCCCUUGAAUCCUUCAGCAAGCCAAGGAGUAUACAGGUGGUCACCUGCACAGGUGCCGGGUCUACCACCACAACUUUAUCCCUGGCCUUGGGGGCUGAUGGAGAGUAAGACUCCCCACCACCGCCACCAGCAGUACCUCCAGCUCGCGAGUAAGCAGCGCACAGGCGGGCACAGGCUCGACAGCGACCAGAGCAGCAGCGCCACCGAGGCCAGGAAGCAGAGCUGGCUCAGCAGAAGGUCCCUCCGGCGGCGGCGGCGGCGGCGGCGACGCGCGCGGUCCUCGUCGCCGGA